CCCUUAGAUGUUCUGGGCCGCACGCGCGCUACACUGAUGCAUUCAACGAGUUUCUUCCUGGUCCGAGAGGAAUGGGUAACCUUUUGAAAGUGCAUCGUGAUAGGGAUAGACUAUUGCAAUUAUUGGUCUUCAACGAGGAAUUCCUAGUAGACGUAGUUCAUCAGACUGCAUCGUUUACGUCCCUGCCCUUUGUACACACCGCCCGUCGCUCCUACCGAUUGAAUGCUCAGGUGAGCCAUUCGGACUUUCAUCAUGCUGGUUUCCAGUUUUGAUGAAGGAAAGUCUUGCGAACCUUAUCAUUUAGAGGAAGGAGAAGUCGUAACA
rnacentral:rRNA from 1 species